AUUGAACGCUGGCGGCAUGCUUUACACAUGCAAGUCGAACGGCAGCGCGGGCUUCGGCCUGGCGGCGAGUGGCGAACGGGUGAGUAAUGCAUCGGAACGUGCCCAGUCGUGGGGGAUAGCCCGGCGAAAGCCGGAUUAAUACCGCAUACGACCUGAGGGUGCAAGCGGGGGACCGAAAGGCCUCGCGCUAUUGGAGCGGCCGAUGUCGGAUUAGCUAGUUGGUGGGGUAAAGGCUUACCAAGGCGACGAUCCGUAGCUGGUCUGAGAGGACGACCAGCCACACUGGGACUGAGACACGGCCCAGACUCCUACGGGAGGCAGCAGUGGGGAAUUUUGGACAAUGGGGGCAACCCUGAUCCAGCCAUGCCGCGUGCGGGAAGAAGGCCUUCGGGUUGUAAACCGCUUUUGUUCGGGAAGAAAUCCUCUGGGCUAAUACCCCGGGGGGAUGACGGUACCGGAAGAAUAAGCACCGGCUAACUACGUG
rnacentral:rRNA from 1 species